rnacentral:rRNA from 1 species
UACGGAGGGUGCGAGCGUUGUUCGGAGUUACUGGGCGUAAAGGGUGUGUAGGCGGUUGUUUAAGUUUGGUGUGAAAUCUCCCGGCUCAACUGGGAGGGUGCGCCGAAUACUGAAUGACUUCGAGUGCGGGAGAGGAGAGUGGAAUUCCUGGUGUAGCGGUGAAAUGCGUAGAUAUCAGGAGGAACACCGGUGGUGUAGACGGCUCUCUGGACCGUAACUGACGCUGAGACACGAAAGCGUGGGUAGCAAACAGG